rnacentral:sRNA from 1 species
GUAACGCGUUCCCCGCUCGAAGGCGGGGCUUUCGACCCCCGGGUCGAGGGCCUGGCGUCACCAGCACCAGCCAACACCAGGGAGGUGACCAGUUGGCUACGUUCCACACAGGUGAGAAGACCCACCAGGCCGUGCUUCCUCAGCGGCCUGCUCUGGAAUCCGCGUCAGCGGACAUUCCAAGGAACGGGAACGAAACGGGGCGCGGAAGCCACGUGCGCGGGGCACCCGGUGUGGAACAUGUGCGAGGGGAGACCACCGGCGGUUCACCUACCGCU